GCACAACUGCACUUCACACAGCAAGUGUUUUCGCACACAGUCCUGUCUGAAACACUCGCGAUGUCGCUGUACCCGUCUCAGAUGAAAGCUUUCAAAAGCGCCGAGCCCAAAACCCUCGGGGCAGUGGAAAUGAUAAUUGGCACGCUGACAGUCAUUCUGAGCACUAUCGUCUAUAAACUGCACUACCAUAUCCAGCGGGAGAUCAUCAUCCUCAUCAUAAAUGGUGCUCAGCUCCUUAUUACUGGAAUUGUGUUGGUGCAUGCUGGCAGGAAACCUACUAAAUGCCUGGUGGGUACAAACAUUGUUUUGCAGCUCCUGACCGCAGCGUUUGAUAUUGUUGGAUUUGGUCUCAUGGCCAGGCAUAUUCCUUUCCGUGGGGAGUCUUAUUAUUACAGAGACACUGAGUGGUGUUGUGACCCACUCCAUUCAGUUUGGGCUUGCUGUGGAGAAGGAGAGAGAGGGGGCCACAAAGAGUUUUUGGUGAAUGGGAUUUUGUGCACUCUGAUUGGUUGCUUGGUGCUGGCAUGUAUUAUUGGUCUGGUCGUGGCACUUUUUGGUGUGUACGCCCUGUCUGUCAGUGCUAUUAAGGUAAGUGCAAAAAACAUGUUUUCAGGGUUGUUUUCAGGUCUGUUUGUGUAUUGGUCAAGGUUACUGCAACUCACAUGUUUGGAUAAUGAAGGUUAACCCUGUAUAAUGUGUAUUUAUGCAGUAGCUGGGCUAAAGCCAUCAAAUUCUGAUGUAAACUAAACUUGUUAUUGAGUUAUUUAGCAGCUUUUAAGGUUAUAUUUCUCCUCCAUCUAUGCCUUCAGGACAUGACACCAAUUCCGAACGCCACAGGAAAUCCACAGUUCAGUGCUGGAGGACACACCAGGUCUGCAGUGCAUGAUGGCAACUGACAAGAAUAAGCACAUUUACAAGAUAAGAUCAACAAUUUCAGCACAGUUUCACACCAAUCAAAAAAAGAUUGUUUCACCUACAAAAAACACUCACAGUAAAAAAAAAAAUCUUUUGUGACAGUGUUAAGAGUUUGUAUGUAGGUAAAGCUGGCUAGCUGUCUACUGUUUGGCUACCUUCUCACAUUCAGGCUCAUGCAAUUUUGAUAGCUUAGCUAUAGCUUAGAAUCGCUGCUAGAACCGCAUUCAUUUUGCACCGAUAGGCAAUAGUUUCUUUGCAUGAAAAUGUAGAAGCAAUAAUUAGCAUUAUGCGCGAAUGCUGUAUGAUUGUUUGAAACUGUCAGGGUUCAAAAUAAGAGAUUACUCUCAGAACCUAUAUCUGUACUGGACUACAUCUGUUUGAGAAACACAGAAGAGCUGUGGUUUGGUAACAAUGGGCCUCAUUCAUGAACCAUGAGCAGAACACGUAAAUCAUAUACAAAAACACUUGUAAAUGCCCACAUUAAAGUGUACAUAGUCUCUGUUCGUAAGUACAAACUAAAUUUGCACCUGCUUCUGGCCACGUGUAAAGUGUGUAUAACAUUUUGGCACACUAUUUGGCAUGCUGUCUUUAUGCACUUUAGUUUAAGUGGAAUUAACAAAUUAUUUUAAAAAAUAAAAAUAAAAUGACACCUGUCA
ensembl:lncRNA